UAUUGCGCAAUGGGGGAAACCCUGACGCAGCAACGCCGCGUGCGGGAUGACGGCCUUCGGGUUGUAAACCGCUUUCAGCAGGGAAGAACAUCGACGGUACCUGCAGAAGAAGCCCCGGCUAACUACGUGCCCGCAGCCGCGGUAAUACGUAGGGGGCGAGCGUUAUCCGGAUUCAUUGGGCGUAAAGCGCGCGUAGGCGGGUGCCUAAGCGGGACCUCUAACCUCGGGGCUCAACCCCGAGCCGGGUCCCGAACUGGGCGCCUCGAGUGCGGUAGGGGAGAUCGGAAUUCCCGGUGUAGCGGUGGAAUGCGCAGAUAUCGGGAAGAACACCGAUGGCGAAGGCAGAUCUCUGGGCCGCCACUGACGCUGAGGCGCGAAAGCUAGGGGAGCGAACAGG
rnacentral:rRNA from 1 species